rnacentral:lncRNA from 1 species
CAUAAGUUUAAGUUGUAGUACUAGAAGUAGUAUGAUAAGUAGUCGAGUAGUGAUAUUAGUAGUCAUGUCAGCAGUAGAAGUAGUUUGAGAAAAAAGUAUAAGUCAAAGUAGUAGAGAAAGUAGAAAUAGUAGCAAUAGCAGCAGUAGAGAAAGUAGAAAUAGGAGCAAUAGCAGUUGAAGUAGAGGGGAAAGUAUUUGUUUAAUUGACAUUAGCAGUAGUUGUCGUACUUGAGGUAGGAUUUUGUUUGAAGGAUGGAAUAAUGCAUAAAUAUGAAAACUAAUUUAAACAGGGAAAAUUUAAAUAAUUAAAAAUCCUCAAGUAUCAGAAAGUUUUUAUGUAUUAGAAAGGCUUGAAUCAGUUUGAAUGAGUUUAAAUUAGUUUGAAAAAUUAAAUGAUAAAUCAUCACUGAGUGACUUAUAAAAGUGAACAGUUUAAAUGAAUAUAAAUCCUGAAUACACCCCAUAAUGUCCUCAAUGAGCUUAAAUUUUAAAGCCCUGAAUGGUUUCUGUAGGUCAAAGGUCAUGUGAAGAGAUAGAGGCUGAAGUUUUUUCAAGCGCUCUAGGAAAGGGUUUUAAGUGUCAUCCCCAGUGCUAUGUGUACUGAGCCUGGCUUCAUGUGUCUCAUAUGGCCAUUAGAAGCAGCUUUCCAGUCAGCUGUGUGUCUCCAGGUGCACUAAUUGGUUGCCAUGGGGACCUUGGAUGCAUAACUAUAGCAGGAGAAAGAAGGCUUAAAGCUAAGGAAACAGGACUCCAAGUAGGCCCUGACGCUCAUCCUCUGUAUCUAUUCCUGAAAAGGAGCUUGUGAGAACACAAGACUCUGCUAUACACAUUAAUACAAUUUAUUAUCACAAUCUUCAAAACACCCCAUAAUAUCUUGAAUGAGCUGAAUUUUUGAAGCCCAGAAUGGUUCCUGUGGCUCAAAGUUUGUGGUUGGAGAUAGGUGGUGAAGCAGACACAUAUUAAAUGUGUGUACAAGCAGCUGAACUGCAAGGUAGACCUCACAAAGCAACAAGUACAAGAAUGUGUGUGUGUGUGUGUGUGUGUGUGUGUGUGUGUCUCGUUAAUGAUUGCAUCCUUAACAGCUGUAAGAUCAAAGCCAUGAACUGACCUAUUGUUUGAAUGGAGAAGCUGCUGAACUGCAGUGAAUUUAGGGUUCUGAACUUCUUCACAUAGCACGAUUUCCUUAAGUCCCAGAAUGAAAAUAAGAACAUCGUACAAAUCCUCCUCCCUUCAUGAACACAAUGAUGUGUUUUUCAUGUCUGUACUCCGAAAAAUGUGGCCACAACAGCGAGUUAAAAAAGUC